AGGCACCGGGGCCGCUGCCUGAGCCGGCAGCAGGAAGUGGCCGGGGCCGGGGAGCAGCGGAGCCGCCUCCGCCUGCAGCGCCGCGGACACAGGGAGCAGUUCUGGAGGCAGCUCGAGGACAUCAUGGAGCAGCACAAGAGGCUGCGGGAGGAGCACGUCCCAGCUCAUUUAGAGGCUGAACUGGAGCGGCUGGAGGAGGCAAUGGGAAAGCUGCUGAGCCAGGAGCGCCGCCUGCUGGAGGCAGAGCAGCAGCUGGGCCCCGAAGCCUU